rnacentral:rRNA from 1 species
UUGGAGGGCAAGUCUGGUGCCAGCAGCCGCGGUAAUUCCAGCUCCAAUAGCGUAUAUUAAAGUUGUUGCAGUUAAAAAGCUCGUAGUUGAACUUCGGGAUCAAUGGAUUGGUCAUGCCGUUGGUAUGUACUGGUCAUAUUGGUUCUCACCUUCUAAGGAACCAUAAUGUCAUUCAUUUGAUGUUUUGGGGAAUUAGGACUGUUACCUUGAAAAAAUUAGAGUGUUUAAAGCAGGCUAACGCUUGAAUACAUUAGCAUGGAAUAAUGAAAUAGGACAUCGCAUUCUAUUUUGUUGGUUUCUAGGAUCGAUGUAAUGAUUAAUAGGGAUAGUUGGGGGCAUUAGUAUUCGAUUGUCAGAGGUGAAAUUCUUGGAUUUAUUGAAGACUAACUACUGCGAAAGCAUUUGCCAAGGAUGUUUUCAUUAAUCAAGAACGAAAGUUAGGGGAUCGAAGACGAUCAGAUACCGUCGUAGUCUUAACCAUAAACUAUGCCGACUAGGGAUCGGAUGAUGUUAAUUUUUUAAUGACUCAUUCGGCGCCUUACGGGAAAC